UGGAGACUUCAGGCGUUCGGGAAGGUUCUAGAAAUCACGACUGGCAGAUUUCCGGAUUAUCUCAGACCUGCAGAUACAUCUACCCACCGAGUGACUUGAAUUUUUUUUCCUCGAACAUGACUCCAGGCUCUGCUUUUAUUAGUGAGUGUCCUGUUCCCACCGCCCAGUGAUUUAUGGUUAAAUUACUCAAGUGUCUGAAAAGAACUAGGACUCUACCCAGCCAUGAGGCAGACUCUCCCACUCCACACCCCCAACUGUGCGGCGAGGAAUUCUUUAGAUACCACAAAAUCGUACCAUCUUACCCCACCUAAAAUUGUUAUGGGUACGCCACACACACAAAAAGU